AUUCUAAAUAAAAGCAGUUAAACAUCGCGUCGAAAUUCACGCUCGUCCGAGGAACGUUCUAAGGGAUCCUUCGUCCAAUUUGCAGGGGGAUGUGGGAAGAUUCUAAAGAGAUCUCUUUUACACGAUCACAGUUUGAUGUUUCUUUUACCGCUCUGGCCCGAUGGAUGGUCUUAACCGAGUAGACACCACACUUCCCGCCAAAACGUUCCGAAGACCAGCUUGCGGAGGAGGAGGCGGAGGAGGAGGUUUUAAACCCGCAAAAGACUCCUGCCGUUGAAGAAUUGUUCCAGGACAAAAUUGUCGAAAAAGAGGUCGAAUGUCCCUCCGUUGAAGACUUGCUUGCGGAGGCUGCUGAGGCUUUUCUUUCGCCGGAGAGUCCACAGGAGACCGCCGCGAAGUCGUUGAAGGCUCGCUAGUUGCGGAUGUGAAGGCUUUUCUUCCAUCAAAGAUUCCGGAUAACGAAGGCUUGCUCGAGGACAACAGCAUCGAAAAGAUGAUGUUGUACAUGCUGUAAGUUCUUUUUGCAUUCUGGACGAUGUUACCAGUCUGUCAUGGGAAUAGACUUUCCUCCAUGCGGCCCCUGAGCUAAAAGGAGUUUGACACCCCUGAUUUACAGUAAUGCAACGUAAAAACGACAACGGUAAAAAACUGGCAGCUCAGUCACCAGAAUUUUAACAUAAAAACAACAGUGAUACAGACUUUAAAUUUAAAGUAAUUUGGUGUAAAAAAAACACCAUAAGCAUUACAGUAAAAUUAUGUCUGCCAAUUUUUUUAAGUAUAAUCUACAGAUUUGUUUUUUUAGUGCAGUAAAAAAAAGUCUGUAGAUUUUCAGUAAAAUACUGACAGCUCAUUUGCCAGAAUUUUACUGUAAAAGUAACAGGAGCAUCGUUUUUUUUCAUUUACAGUAAUGCACUGUAAAAACAAAAACUGUAGAUUUUACAGAAAAAAACUGGCAGGUCAGUCAUCAGAAUUUUGCCGCAAAAAUAACAGUGAUACCGGUUUUCAAUGUACAGUAAUUUGGUGUAAAAACAUUGUAAAUUAGUGAAAUCCUGGUGACUAAGCUGCUAAAGAUUUAUGAUUUAGCCCAAAAAAAGUCUGCGGGCUAUAGAGCGUUUUCUAUUCGGGCUCCAGUACUCUGGAAUGCCCUCCCAGUAACAGUUAGAGAUGCUACCUCAGUAGAAGCAUUUAAGUCCCAUCUUAAAACUCAUUUGUAUACUCUAGCCUUUAAAUAGACUCCCCUUUUAGACCAGUUGAUCUGCCGUCUCUUUUCUGCUUUGCCCCCCUCUCCACGAAGGCACAGAUUAGGUGACCACAGAUGAGCGCGAGCUGUUCAAAGUCGAGACCCGAGGUGGACCACUCAUCUGUGCAUCAGUUGGGGACGUCUCUGCGCUGCUGACUUGCCUCCACCUCAAGAUGAUCUCCUGGUAGCCCCACAUUGGACUGGACUCUCACACUAUUAACUAGAUCCGCUCGACGCCCAUUGCACCGGUCGCACAGGGGUGGGGGGUCCCCACAUCUGCGGUCCCCUCCAAGGUUUCUCAUUGUAGCCCCUUGGGUUGAGUUUUUCAUUGCCCUGAUGUGGGAUCUGAGUCGAGGAUGUCGUUGUGGCUUGUGCAGCCCUUUGAGACACUCGUGAUUUAGGGCUAUAUAAGUAAACUUUGAUUGAUUGAUUGAUUGAUUUUUACUUUACUUUAAUAUUACUGUAUUAAAAUAAAUAGAUAUAAUAUUUAGUUUUUUUGGAGGUGGGAGGAAGCCGGAGUACCCGGAGGGAACCCACGCAGUCACGGGGAGAACAUGCCAACUCCACACAGAAAGAUCCCGAGCCCGGGAUUGAACUCAGGACUACUCACCCCACCUUCCGCCCGAUUGUAGCUGAGAUAGGCUCCAGCGCCCCCCGCGUUCCCAAAGGGAAUAAGCGGCAGAAAAUGGAUGGAUGGAUGGAUGGAUUUAGUGUUUUACAGUGUAGUGACAACCUUACCGUGGA